ensembl:lncRNA
GGAGAGGGCAAGAGGAGGGGAACAACGAAAAGAAUCCCCGACCCAAGUGGAGCGGCCGCGGUGCAGCGGGUGAGGCGGCGCCGACGAGCGUUUCUAUCAUCCCUAGUUGUGACCUGACAUAACUCCAUAUGCUGUCCUCAAGCUAUCCUCAAACAGAGUGAGGCAACUGGGUGAGGUCUGAGUUGGACCAAUUCGUUGAGGAAGAAAUGAACUAUUGAAAAUGGUUGUGCAGGAGAAAUCUGGAAAAACAACCAGUGAUCAGGGGAUUUAAGAUAAGCGGAGGUGAGCAGGUACAGCAGGUUUCUGUUUUCCUUUCUUAACCAUAUGCGUUUUGAAAAUACUAAUACUUAACUAAUCUCUAGAGCCUGAAGACAUUCUUGGGUUUACA